UGAUUACAAUGGAGAGUAAGACUUGCCGCUCUGUUCUGGGCCAGCUGCAGCUUAACUAGCUCUGUCUUUGCAACACUUGGCCAUAUGACUGGACAUUAAUCAAGAGAAGAUCAAACUAGAGCCUGCAGGACUUUGUGGAGUGUGGUGUCAAGAAAGCAGAGCAUAUCCUUAUUAUGGACAGACCUCUCUCCAUCUCUUUAUUACAGACAGACCUCUCCCCAUCUCUAUAUUACAGACAGACCUCUCCCCAUCUCUAUAUUACAGACCUCUCCCCAUCUCUAUAUUACAGACAGACCUCUCCCCAUGGUUACAACCAUUGAAUCUAUAUGUUUUGACCAUGACAGUUUACAAUCUAAGGCAACGCCAAGUAAUUUAGUCUCCUCGACUUGUACAACAGCAACAACAUGCAUUACCAGGUCUAGAA
rnacentral:lncRNA from 13 species